rnacentral:rRNA from 1 species
UACGGAGGGAGCUAGCGUUGUUCGGAAUUACUGGGCGUAAAGCGCGCGUAGGCGGCUUUGUAAGUUAGAGGUGAAAGCCCGGGGCUCAACCCCGGAAUUGCCUUUAAGACGGCAUCGCUUGAAUCCGGGAGAGGUGAGUGGAAUUCCGAGUGUAGAGGUGAAAUUCGUAGAUAUUCGGAAGAACACCAGUGGCGAAGGCGGCUCACUGGACCGGCAUUGACGCUGAGGUGCGAAAGCGUGGGGAGCAAACAGG